GACGAACGCUGGCGGCGUGCUUAACACAUGCAAGUCGAACGGAAAGGCCCUGCUUUUGUGGGGUGCUCGAGUGGCGAACGGGUGAGUAACACGUGAGUAACCUGCCCUUGACUUUGGGAUAACUUCAGGAAACUGGGGCUAAUACCGGAUAGGAGCUCCUGCUGCAUGGUGGGGGUUGGAAAGUUUCGGCGGUUGGGGAUGGACUCGCGGCUUAUCAGCUUGUUGGUGGGGUAGUGGCUUACCAAGGCUUUGACGGGUAGCCGGCCUGAGAGGGUGACCGGCCACCUUGGGACUGAGGUACGGCCCAGACUCCUACGGGAGGCAGCAGUGGGGAAUAUUGCACAAUGGGCGGAAGCCUGAUGCAGCGACGCCGCGUGCGGGAUGACGGCCUUCGGGUUGUAAACCGCUUUCGCCUGUGACGAAGCGUGAGUGACGGUAAUGGGUAAAGAAGCACCGGCUAACUACGUG
rnacentral:rRNA from 1 species